rnacentral:tRNA from 1 species
GCGCCCGUAGCUCAGUGGAUGAGAGCGCUGGCCUCCGGAGCCAGAGGUCGCUGGUUCAAAUCCAGCCGGGCGUA